GACGAACGCUGGCGGCGUGCCUAAUACAUGCAAGUUGAGUGAUGAAGCUUGGUGCUUGCCCCAAUUUGAAGAGCAGCGAGCGGGUGAGUAACGCGUGGGGAAUCUGCCUUUGAGCGGGGGACAACAUUUGGAAACGAAUGCUAAUACCGCAUAACAACUUUAAACAUAAGUUUUAAGUUUGAAAGAUGCAAUUGCAUCACUCAAAGAUGAUCCCGCGUUGUAUUAGCUAGUUGGUGAGGUAAAGGCUCACCAAGGCGAUGAUACAUAGCCGACCUGAGAGGGUGAUCGGCCACAUUGGGACUGAGACACGGCCCAAACGCCUACGGGAGGCAGCAGUAGGGAAUCUUCGGCAAUGGACGAAAGUCUGACCGAGCAACGCCGCGUGAGUGAAGAAGGGUUUCGGAUCGUAAAACUCUGUUGGUAGAGAAGAACGUUGGUGAGAGUGGAAAGCUCAUCAAGUGACGGUAACUACCCAGAAAGGGACGGCUAACUACGUG
rnacentral:rRNA from 1 species